rnacentral:rRNA from 1 species
GACGAACGCUGGCGGCGUGCUUAACACAUGCAAGUCGAACGGAAAGGCCCUGCUUUUGUGGGGUGCUCGAGUGGCGAACGGGUGAGUAACACGUGAGUAACCUGCCCUUGACUUUGGGAUAACUUCAGGAAACUGGGGCUAAUACCGGAUAGGAGCUCCUGCUGCAUGGUGGGGGGUGGAAAGUUUCGGCGGGUGGGGAUGGACGCGCGGCUUAUCAGCUAGUUGGUGGGGGAGUGGCUGACCAAGGCGACGACGGGUAGCCGGCCUGAUAGGGUGAGCGGCCCCACUGGAACUGAGACACCGUCCAGGCGCCUACGGGAGGCAGCAGUCGGCACGGUUGGACAACGGGCGCCAGCCUGGUCCAGCCCUACCGCGGGGGGGAAGACGGCCUUCGGGGUGUAAAGCCGUUUUGUUGGGAAAGAAAAGCAGCAGGUUAAUACCCCGCUGUUCUGACGGUACCCAAAGAAUAAGCACCGGCUAACUUCGUG